GAUGAAGAACGCAGCGAAAUGCGAUACGUAAUGUGAAUUGCAGAAUUCAGUGAAUCAUCGAGUCUUUGAACGCACAUUGCGCCCCCUGGUAUUCCGGGGGGCAUGCCUGUCCGAGCGUCAUUGCUGCCCUCAAGCACGGUUUGUGUGUUGGGCCUCCGUCCUCCUCCCGGGGGACGGGCCCGAAAGGCAGCGGCGGCACCGCGUCCGGUCCUCGAGCGUAUGGGGCUUCGUCACCCGCUCUUGUAGGCCCGGCCGGCGCUUGCCGACACAUCAAUCUUUUUUCCAGGUUGACCUCGGAUCAGGUAGGGAUACCCGCUGAACUUAAGCAUAUCAAUAAGCGGAGGA
rnacentral:misc_RNA from 1 species